rnacentral:rRNA from 1 species
CCUACGGGGGGCUGCAGUGGGGAAUAUUGCACAAUGGGCGCAAGCCUGAUGCAGCCAUGCCGCGUGUGUGAAGAAGGCCUUCGGGUUGUAAAGCACUUUCAGCGGGGAGGAAGGCGGUGAGGUUAAUAACCUCAUCGAUUGACGUUACCCACAGAAGAAGCACCGGCUAACUCCGUGCCAGCAGCCGCGGUAAUACGGAGGGUGCAAGCGUUAAUCGGAAUUACUGGGCGUAAAGCGCACGCAGGCGGUCUGUCAAGUCGGAUGUGAAAUCCCCGGGCUCAACCUGGGAACUGCAUUCGAAACUGGCAGGCUAGAGUCUUGUAGAGGGGGGUAGAAUUCCAGGUGUAGCGGUGAAAUGCGUAGAGAUCUGGAGGAAUACCGGUGGCGAAGGCGGCCCCCUGGACAAAGACUGACGCUCAGGUGCGAAAGCGUGGGGAGCAAACAGGAUUAGAUACCCCAGUAGUC